rnacentral:sRNA from 1 species
AACAGCCACUCAGACUGAGCCCGGAUUGCUUGUUUUUGAUCAAAGAAGCUUCCGCAACUACUACUUUUUCAUUUAUAACGUCUCGCAAGCUGCUACGCGGACCAGCAGAAGGAUCCUGACAAUAGGCCAAGGGAGCUUGGAUUGCGGGAAAAGGGAUUAGAACUUGAUUAAUUGAUUGAAAGGUGGAAAACCCCAGCUAGCAAUACUGAUACUGAAUACAAACCUACCUUUAGGGCACCGAGCGCCACGAUUGAUGAUACCAUGAUACGAAUGAUUGAAUAUCUGAAAAAAAAAAAACACGAGAUGAAUGGCUGGACAGAACGGACACAAUGAUGGAAAGGUCUAUAACAAAAACUGAAUGAAAACUCUGAUUCUCUGUCCACAAGAGAUUGUGAGGAUGUCACAAGAAGGGGACGAUGAUGAGAUGAGUGAAUCAACUGACUACGCGAGCCAUUGCCACAGCUCCUCCAACUACUGAAGAAUAACCCUACAAGAAUCAUCAACAGAGUGGCCAUGAGAGCCGCAAAGAUACCCCAUGACGAGAUUGGCCAUCAAGAAUACCACCACCACCACCGCUGAUGAACGAACCAAACGUCGAUACUACUAACACGAACCGAAGCCUCACGAAUGCCGAAAAAGUAUAGAAUGAUACCAAGAAUAGCUUGAUACAUAUGAUGAAUAAUGGUGCUGCUUUUGUGCAAUUGAUUACGGAUUUGAGCGAUUUGAGAUUGAGAUUGAGAUUUGAUAGUCCAGGGGAGGAGCCUAGGCUUCCUAGUAUGGCCUGGCACCCCGCACACUAUAUAUACACUUAAAACGUUCCAACAGUUCCUGUUGGGUCCCUCUGUAGGAGACUCCGCGGAUUUCGCCUGUAGAUACCGCGUUCUUCUUCCCUUAGUCGGUGUUUCUCUGUCUUUAUUCCCCUUGGCAGACGCCAUUCUGGGCCCGGGUAAGGGGCGAUCUGGUUCAGUCAAAUCGGUGUCAGAGCUGGGAUCGUACACUGGAUCGUUGUCUGUGUCGGAGCAUAUGCUGGGGGUCGUUUCGCUCGUAGUGUGCGGGCGGUUACCGCGAGGGGGAAAAAAAAGAUAAUAGAUGACAAGUAGAUAAGCAACGGAAAAAUGAAGGGAGAAAAGAAACCAAUUGAAAGAAAUGAAUAAAUAAAUAGCUGGGCCAAAUGAGAGCAAAACUUCGUCCAGGAAGAGAUAGAUAUCUAUAUACAAUACACAUGAGCCC